UCACUUACCUGGAUGGGGUCAAUGGAUGAUCAUUAAGGUCCAUGGCCUAAGCCUGUGGCUUCCAUUGCACUUUGGAGGGGUGCAAGCUUAAGGUCUCCCUUAAUGGGAGAGCCUACUUCAUUAUUUGUGGCAGUGGGGACCUGCGUUCGCGCGGUCCCUUC
rnacentral:snRNA from 8 species